AUUGAACGCUGGCGGCAUGCCUUACACAUGCAAGUCGAACGGCAGCACGGGUGCUUGCACCUGGUGGCGAGUGGCGAACGGGUGAGUAAUACAUCGGAACAUGUCCUGUAGUGGGGGAUAGCCCGGCGAAAGCCGGAUUAAUACCGCAUACGAUCCACGGAUGAAAGCGGGGGACCUUCGGGCCUCGCGCUAUAGGGUUGGCCGAUGGCUGAUUAGCUAGUUGGUGGGGUAAAGGCCUACCAAGGCGACGAUCAGUAGCUGGUCUGAGAGGACGACCAGCCACACUGGGACUGAGACACGGCCCAGACUCCUACGGGAGGCAGCAGUGGGGAAUUUUGGACAAUGGGCGAAAGCCUGAUCCAGCAAUGCCGCGUGUGUGAAGAAGGCCUUCGGGUUGUAAAGCACUUUUGUCCAGAAAGAAAUCCUUGGCUCUAAUACAGUCGGGGGAUGACGGUACCGGAAGAAUAAGCACCGGCUAACUACGUG
rnacentral:rRNA from 1 species